rfam:Oryza glumipatula chromosome 11, whole genome shotgun sequence.
GAUUUCAACUGAAAAAGUCAUCAAUUUCAAAGUUGUAUAACUCAUCAAGGUCUAUAACUUUUAUUUGGGUCAUUUCUUCAUCCGGCAAAGCGACUUGUAACAUUGUUCACAAAAUGUACAUAUCUCUCGACUAUUAGAGAGAUAUGUACAUUUUGUGAACAAUGUUACAAGUCGCUUUGCCGGAUGAAGAAAUGACCCAAAUAAAAGUUAUAGACCUUGAUGAGUUAUACAACUUUGAAAUUGAUGACUUUUUCAGUUGAAAUC